rnacentral:lncRNA from 1 species
UUAAGGUCGGCGGGAAAGCCGGAGCUCUCGGAGACUCCGUCACCGUCGUGCGUGAGAAGAGCAAGAUCACUGUCACCUCCGACAGUACCUUCUCCAAGAGGUAGUCUCACUUUUCGCCAAUUACUAAUCUUUUCGAAUCGAUUCAUGCGCAUUUAUGCUUCGGGGCUGUGAAUAUUUUGGAUUUGUUUUUUGUGUGGAAUUUAAUUAGAUGAUUUGAAUAGUUUAUGCGAUGUAGUUUGAAUCCUUCGAUUUUCACACUGAUAAGUGAUGCAACUUGUCAGAAAUGUAUUGUUAGUUAGCUUACCUUUGCGGACUUUGUUUGUGAUAACAACUUAGAAUUACGGUUGUUGUGUGAUUGUGCUGUUUCCGUGUAUGAUUCUUUUGCUAGCAUGACUCUGUAAUAUGGUUAUAAAAUGCAUUGGUUUUAAAUUACUUGUAUUUUUUAUUUUUUUUUUUGUGCAACAUUCUUGUAGAGUGAACAUGCAAACAAAGAAGUGUGUCUAUUGUAACUAUGUAAAUGUAAAAGAAUCUAACAGAUUGCCGAUAGUUUCAGGUCUUGGACUCUAGUCUUGGAUUUAGGGUUGUAUUAUGAGCUGCAUACCUGUAUUGUUUUCUACUAUGUUGUCAUGGUUUGAAACUGAGUUAGUGUGUUUUGGAAUUUUUCCUCCGCUGGUAUAUAUCUCUAGGAAUUUACAAUUUGUUAGAUAUAUUUGAAGUUGCUGUUUUUUGCUUCCUGUUUAAAAUUGAGUCCUGAAGUUAAUAAACAUCUUGCUCCUUUUCUUUUAUGCUCCAUAGGUAUUUGAAAUACUUGACAAAGAAGUACCUGAAGAAGAACAAUGUGAGGGAUUGGUUGAGGGUUAUUGCCUCCAACAAAGACCGAAAUGUUUACGAGUUGCGAUACUUUAACAUUGCUGAAAACGAAGGAGAAGAGGAGGAUUAAAUUGUUUGAUUUGGUUCUGUUGUCUCUCUCUUUUUUUUGAUGUAGAAGCCUCCUUUCUUGAUUUCUCUUGUUUGAAUGAUUACUAGAUGGAAUCUAUAUAUGUUCUUGGAUACCUUGCAACAUUGUUUACUAAUGAGGAACUACUUUACAUAUUUGUUAUUACAUGUGUUGAAUUCUUGGGAAGAUCAUAGGUAUCCUGUUGCUUGACUGACUAUGGCAGGUUUAUGAUGGUUUUAGUUCAUCACUUUUGCAUUUAGCAUCAAUUUGGUUAUUUAGUUCUCAACCCUUGUAUAACUUACUACCAAAAAGAUUUUGUCUCUGAAAGAUUUAGCCGGGUAAUUGGAGCCCUGGAGGUUUUCAACAAAUAAUCAGCAACUCCUGAGCUCAUUCAGCAAGAAUAAGGAUUCUGGGAGAUUGAUAUUAGUAAUUAAUUAGUGUGGAUAGUUAUAUCCAUAGUUGUCAUGUCGGUCGACUAGUCGCGACUAGUCGACCAAGCGGCACUAAGCGGUGAAUGGAUGUCGACUCAACAUGUCGACUAGGUGAAUGUUGAUAUUUUGGUCGCUUGGUCGACUAAGCGGUCGACUAGUCGUUGACUAGUCGACUAGUCGAGUUUGGACCACCGACUAGUCGACUGUUUUUUUGCAAUUCACUAGUCGACUAGUCGAGUUUGGACCACGGACUAGUCGACUGAUUUCUUGCAAUUUGCAUUAUGCAUGAUCAAUUUUGCAUAAAUUUUGUUAUUUGUUUACUGUACUGCCACAUCACAUCAGUAUCACAUAAUUGAUAUUUAUCGAUUGUUAGCUUUUUUUUUUUUUGAGAAAAUAUCGAUUGUUAGCUUGAUACAUAUUUUACUUGAUCGUGUGUACUUUGCUUUGUUGUUAACUAUUCGCUUUUCCACAUUCUCUUUAGGUGUCUGAUUUUUAAUUCCUUAGAAUCCGGAAUAAAAUUUUAUGGAAGGUACAUAAUACAAAUAUAUGUAUGUGUUUAUAUGUAUAUAAUAAAUUUUUAAUUUAUAAGAAAUAUAUAUUUUUUAGCGACUAGUCCACGACUAGUCUACGGACUAGUCGACUAGCGGGAGGUCUAUCGACUCGCCUCGACUCAUCGACGUGACAACCAUGGUUAUAUCCCAAACAAAUCCUAUCCUAUUGGUCAUUUCCUUAUGAUUUUUUCAUUAUGUGAGACACAUGUUAAAGAUAAUUUUUUGUGGUUUUUUUUUAUUACAAAACACACAAUUUAAGAUAUAGGUUUGUAACUUAUAUUUAGAUUGUAUUUUUAUAUAUAUUUAAAUAUCAAACUUUUGUUUAGUAGAAUUGUUUUUAUAAACAUUUAAAUAUUAUAAUCAUAAAUAAAGAAAAGGUAAAAUAAUUUAUAAAAUUCUAUUUUAUAGAGUAUAAAAAUACUACUCUCUCCGUCCGAUUUAUAUGUAUACAGUUUUCUUUUUGGAUGUCCAACCAAUUGUAUACAUUCCAAAAGUAGUAAAAUUUUACAAUAUACCUUCUUCCAUUAUCUCCAUUCUAUAAAAGCAUGUCCAACAAUGCCCUGUAAUAAUGUCCUAAGUAAAAUUUAAGACAUUUAACAUAAAAAUGUGAUCCAAUAGUGUCCUAGUGGUGCCUUAAAACACCAGGACACACUACAUGUGCCUUAUUUAUAAGGCACUACAACACUUGUCCUAAACUAUUUUAAUCUAUAAAAUAUUUACUCUCUCUCUCUUUUUCACACCUUUUCAUGUUUGGCUUAUAUAUAGUUGUAUUCAAAUAUAUUAAUAUUUUAGUAUUGGGUUUGUCUAGUGUGUGCCCAUGGGCACAUUCUAAGCGCAGAGUUUUAUAAGUUUGGGAGGUUUUGAUUGGUGUGGUUGUUGCAUUUGCAGGGGGUCCACCAUUAUUAACAUGCAAAAGCCAAUCAAAACCUCCCAAAUUUAUAAAACUCCGCGCUUAGCAUGUGCCCAUGGGUACAUACUAGAAAAACCGUUUAGUAUUAUGGCAUGAGGAUAAGGCAUAUUGUUGGAAUAGAUGUAUGUGUAUAGUAUCGUAGAUCACUGGGACAUUAUAUUUUAUUAUAUAUUUAAGACUUCUACUAAGACACUGUUGGACUUGCUCUAAUAAUAUAAACACUAUUACACCCACUGUCUUUCUCCCCUAUCUCAAAUCUAUUAUUAAAUAUAAAUGGGUCCCACCAUUAUACCCAUUUUUUAUCUAACUUUACUCAUUUUUUACAUUUUUUUCUUCGUCUCUGUAUACCAACCAAAUGUAUACAAAUGACCAGGACGGAGGGAGUACUUGUCAAGUCUAUAUAGAGUGAAGAUAAAUGACGUAAGUGACCCCACUUCAUAUAUAUCACUUCUUUUCCACCGCUUGCUCUGUCUCGAAAAAGAUUGAUAUGCUAAAACAUAAUCGAACUGAUCUAAAACUUGUAAUUGUGUUAGUGAACUUAGAAGUCUUGCAUUUAUAUAAUUCAAGAAAAUAAAAUUUGUAUUUAACUAACGGUCAUUAAUAUAAUAAUAGAAUAAAAACUGAACUUGUAACUUAUAAAACUCAACUCAAUCCCAACUUAUAUUUACAUUUUUAAAUUUAUUAAAACUUUUAACUAAGUAUACUGAAAGAAUAAUAAAUUUUCAUAAGUGGUACUCAACAAAAAUUAACUUGCAAUCACUCUAAAUCACUCUCAUCUCUCUUAAUCUCAACCAUUCUCUUAUCUUUUCUCUUUCAAUCUUUUUGAUAUUUACAUAUUUUGAAUUAUAAUAUAAAAAAAUGUUUUUGAUGUUGAAAUUUUAUGAUAACUUCGUGGAGAAGAUGAAAAUCAGCAUCUUCAAAAGUGUGGGCAUCUGCUGUAUGCAACAACAAUAUCAAAAAUAGCCUAAAUCUCUCUCAUCUCUUAAUCUCUCUCCUCUCUAUUCUUUCCUAUACUCUCUCAAUUUCCCUCCUCUCUCAAUAUAUUUCAUAUCUCUCUCUCUCAAUCUAACAAUUUUAUCCCGAAUGCUAUAAUAUAGUUGUAACAUGAUUAUCUUUUUUAUUAGUUUGAUAAGUACAAAAUUGAUUUCAGUUGUUAAUUUUUACAUUAAAAACUAAUUGAGUAUAUAAAUGUAUAUGAAUGAAAAUAUGUUAUAAUUUUAUAAUUUUUAAUUUUGAUUACCCAAUUACAAGUUGAGAAUCAAUUCAGUUAUCCGAUUAUGAGUUUAUAUUAGUUUAGUUAGUUAAUUAUAAGUUUAUAUUAGUUCAACUAGUCGAUGGUUUUUUUUAGUUCAGUAAUCCAAUUGCAUGUUUUGAGUUAGUUCACUAAUAUUUUAACCUAUUAACCCCCUCAAAAAGNAAGAGCGUAAUCUUUUGAGUUUUUUCUCACAAAUUCGAGCUUAGAAAUUUUUCUGAAAGAAUACCGUAAUUUUAAGAAAAAUAUAAAAAAAUAAUUUUUCAAAUAAAAAAUACAAAUAUAUCAUUUCCUAAAUAAUUUUUUCAAAAAUGCGAAGAUUAUUUUUGAAGCCAUAUAUACGAAGAUUUUAAUUGGAUGGUUGUUGUAAACGCAGGGGGUCCAUCAUUAUUAAAGAGCGUAUGCCAAUCAAAAUCAUUCAAAUUCAUACAUUUUAGGGCUUAGUAUGUGCCCAUGACACAUCAUCGAGAAAUCCUUAAUUAGUUAAUUACUUUUAGAUACUAUAAUAAUCAAUUAUAUCCAUUGGCUUAUAAUAGUAUAUUAUAAUUUGAUUAUUUCAUAUAUUAAUUCUCAAAUGUUUUAUUAAAUAUUAUUGAAUUAUGAUUUACUUAAUUUUUUUAUAUUUUCUAAUAUUUUUUUUUAAUCUUAGAUGUAUCUUUUGUUUUUUGAGUAAGAUGUAUCUUUUGUUAAUUCUUAACGGUUUUUCUAUGGUGUGCCCAUGGGCACAUGCUAAGCGCGGAAAAUUUUGUGCUUGGAUCAUUUUGAUUGGCUAUUAUCUCAUGAUAAUGGUGGACCCUCCUGCAAAUACACCAACCACACUAAUCAAAAUCUCUCAAAUACAAAAAUUUCCGCGCUUAGCAUGUGGCCAUGGGCACACACUAGCCAAACCGAAUUCUUAAUUGCUCAUUUGUAUACUAUUUUCCUAAAGUUUGUUGACAUGUCCUUUUUCUUGAGCCCAAAUCGUAUAACUCUCCCAGCCCGGCCCGACCCAGUAAGCUAGAAGAAAAACCCUAAAUAACUAAAGUGAUAUAACCUACUUCGUCCCUUUCACUCGUAUCGAGUUGCAGACGGCCGCUUCACAUUUCCACCAGGUAUUCCAAUCUCUCCACACCUACACACACAAUCUGUAAGUAUAUAUUUGUUAAAAUUGAGCUAACUUGUGCUAAUUGAACGAGCAGAGAAGAGUAAAGAUGAGUAAAGUCACCGGAGGCGCCGGAAAGGGGGGAAAGAAGAAGGGAGCGACGUUCGUGAUCGACUGCGGAAAGCCGGUGGAAGAUAAGAUCAUGGACAUCGCUUCUCUCGAGAAGUUUCUGCAGGAGAGAAUUAAGGUCGGCGGGAAAGCCGGAGCUCUCGGAGACUCCGUCACCGUCGUGCGUGAGAAGAGCAAGAUCACUGUCACCUCCGACAGUACCUUCUCCAAGAGGUAGUCUCAUUUUUCGCCAAUUACUCUUUCUGUAUUGCGUAUUUACGGUUUUCAUGAUGAGAAUGUGUAAAAUGUUGUUGAGACGGUUAAAUUUGGUGUUAGAUGUAGAGUUUACGUGAUUUUUGUUGGUGAUUAGUAGUUUGCUGGUGAUUCAUCGAUUUUAAUUUUUUGCUAGGCUGAUAAGUGAUGCAACUUUUAGAAAACAUGUUAGUGUAUAGUUUAGUUUGUUGCUAUUGGAUGAUCGUUUAUCGUCCUCUAUAUGAACCGGGAUUUGUUUCCGCUAUUUGAUUGUUUGUUUGUUUGUGUUGUUUUUUUUUUCUUGUUAAAGUAGAAGCACUAAAGAAAAUUACUUAUUCAUUCUGCAUAUUAACAUGAAAUACAGGAAAUAGCUUUAUAUAGGCAGCACACCUACUAAUUGACUAAAGAUUUAACAGAACUUAAAGAGUAUCCUAUGACUAAAAAAUUGGAGCUAACAAACUAAUUAAAAAAAUUUCAAAUAACUUUGAAUGAUUCUCAACAAUUUCAGAUAAUAUUAUUGAUCGCAACUUAGAAGAAUAGGUUGCUGUUUGAUUGAUGCGAUUCCCUAUUAUGGUGGUUAUAUAAUGCAUUGGCUCAAAAGUACUUGUAUUUUUGGUUUCUUUUGUGCUAAAUUCUUGUAGAUUGAACACGCAAGUUAAGAUGUGUGUAUCUAUCGAAUACUGUAACCAUGUAAAGAAAGAAUCAAACUGGUUGCAGUUAGUUUCAAGUCCCCGAUUCCCAGUUUUGAAUUUAGGGUUCUAUUAUUAGCUAUUGACCUGCAUUGUUUUCUUUUGAAUGCAAGUGUCUUCUGUUUAAGAGAGGAUUAAACCUCUACUAUGCCCUCUACUAUGCUGUCAUGGUAUGAAACUGAGUUAUUGGAUAGUCAUUACAAUUUGUCACGUAGGUUUUUUGGGUUAAGAGCUAGUGCAAUUAAUUCAUCAUUAUGGUUUGUAACUAAGAGUCCUUGAAGUUAACAAACAUCUAACUUAACUUUUCAUUUUUGCUCUGUAGGUAUUUGAAAUACUUGACAAAGAAGUACCUGAAGAAGAACAAUGUGAGGGAUUGGUUGAGGGUUAUUGCCUCCAACAAAGACCGAAAUGUUUACGAGUUGCGAUACUUUAACAUCGCUGAAAACGAAGGCGAAGAGGAGGAUUAAAUUGUUUGAUUUAGCUCUAUUGUCUUCUUUAUUUUGAUGUAGAAGCCUCC